UAUAGGUGAGCUCUAUGUAUCAGGGGAAGAUUUAUCUUUUGAAAGUGUUAAGGGAAAAAAAGGAUGUGAAAUAAAUAAAUGAAUAAUUUGCUAGCUCCCCCUUCCCCAGGAGCUUGGAAGAAGCUGUAAAAGUUAUACCACAUUAACUUCACAGUGAUUCCCAGUAAGUCUACCUUAACCAACUCCAUUACUAUACACAUUAUUUUAGAAGGACUACUGCUCUCCCAGCUAGAGACUACGUUUCUUAACCUGCUUUGUUACUGUGACUAUCUGACCUUGUUCUAGGCAAAAGGGGUACACAAAUGAUAUAUGCAGCUUUCAGAUAAUAUUCUUUAAAACCCCUGCUUGUCUUUCUUUUUCUUUUUUCCUUUUCUCACUUAUGGGAAAUGGUACCAUUUUGGACUCAGAGGUAGAAACUCUACCUUGAGUCUGGCAGAGCCCUCUUGGGAUCACCCUAUGUACUAAAUGUUCCUUGAGAGAGAAAUAAGCCUGUACUUUUUUUAAGUCAAUGUAUAUUUGGGUCUCUGUUCGUACCUUAGUCUAUAUACUAAUAAAUAUAAAUACCUAUGUUUUAGCAAUUUUUAUGAGGGUCAAAAAAUAUAGUGCAGGUAAAAUGCUUUCAUGUGGUAUUCUGAAAAUACUAGCUUUCUUGCAGACAGAAUUUUUAAAUUAUCUAGUUUUGUUUGGGAAAAUAAGUAAUCCUAAGAUCAAUAGAGAGGUUAAUCCUUGGAUAAUUUUAAACCAAAGUCAUUCUAAAAUUUAAUUCAAUAAAUGGUUAUUAGGUUUAAAAUAAAAUUACUUUAACAUGUAAUCUAACAAACAGUUAUUAGGUGUCAUCGUGCCAGGAACUGUGCAAGCAUCAGAAAUACAAAAUUAAAUAUAGUUUAGUACAAUAGGUAUACUAUUUGAGCAUGUAUACGUGGUAGCCUGAAUGCAAAAGUGAAACAUAUUGUAUACUUAUUCAGAUAGGAAAACAUGAGUUAAGUGUUAUUUCCUUGUCUGCAUAACCAUGUGUAUUUAAUUUAUGCCCUCAUGUUUUACUAGUUGUGGUUUUUCAGGAUAUAACUGAAUUUCUACAAUAGGAAAGGGGAUACAUUUUAAUUACCAUCAGGAUCUAGUAUAUGUGUUUUUCACUGUAGCAAUCAUGUUCUUACUUCUAAACUAUUAAGAAAAGUACUGUGGGGGCGCCUGGGUGGCUCAGUCGGUUGAGCAUCCAACUUCGGCUCAGGUCACGAUCUCGCGACCGUGAGUUCGAGCCCCGCGUUGGGCUCUGGGCUGAUGGCUCAGAGCCUGGAGCCUGCUUCCGAUUCUGUGUCUCCCUCUCUCUCUGCCCCUCCCCCGUUCAUGCUCUGUCUCUCUCUGUCUCAAAAAUAAAUAAACGUUAAAAAAAAAAUUAAAAAAAAAUAAAAUUAAAUUAAAAAAAGAAAAGUACUGUGUACAAUUGAUUCAAUUUAAUCGUGAUUGUUUACUAAAAAUAUAAGUUGACAGAAAUUUACUUGUGUGUAGAUGAUUUUCAGUUAUCUGAAAAUAAUAUCUACAUGGAUUACUGACUAUGGGAUUUGUUUUCUUAUCCUGUAGGUUUAUAUAUGUAUCCAACCUUUCCAUAGUGACUUUUCUGCCUCCUAUACAGUUACUACUAUAGAGACCCCAACUAUUCAAAUAUUGAGAUAACAUAUAAUGAUGAAGAGAAAGGUAGUUAAUUUUAUGUAAAUGUUUUGAUGCUUGAUAUAUAAUAUGUAAGAGUAAAUACAAGUUUAAGUGGCUUAAUUCUACCUGUGAAAAAUAAGGGAAGAGAUGUCCUACCUUUCCUUUUUUUUAGACAUUUACUUUAGAAAAUUUGUGGUUAUUUUCCUUCCAUCUCUUUAAAAUGUAUGUAAAUCUUUUUAAAGGCUAAAUAAGCCCCUUGUCAUUUUUACAAUCUGGGAAUGUCUUUCUCUAGGACCUGGGAGUCCUCUCUGAAAUGUAAUCAUUAAAGAAGAUAGUACUCCUAUAUCCCAAUUUCUGUGGGCAGGUAGGAGGAGCCCAACCUUGGCCAACUUGCAGAACUACCUCCUGUCAUAAAGCAUCAACUAAACGGUUACUAAAUGGCCAUAAGAGUCUGUGUCAGUAGGAAUCUGGAAACCUGGGAUCUCCUCCAACCCUACUAAGUGCUAACUGGAAAGGACUGAGAUGUGUGGAUCUGGGCUAUGUGGAACUUGGUUCAAGCAUAUGAUUCGAGGGAAAAAAUAUCCAAUUCAUCACUGUAUGCCCUUUGGGUUUCAGACUCUGAAUCUUAUAGCUCAUGCAAAGACUCUGUCCAGAGAGGCUAACAGAACGUGAAGAACUAUCUUGAACAGCAGUGACGACUGUGGAAACCCUUGCCUUGUUCCUGAACUUUGGUGGAAAAAUUUCUUUCACAAGUAAGUGUCAUUAUUUGCCUUAUGUUUUAUGUAGGUGUUCUUUAAUUUGUGCGAGUCUAUCUAUAUCCCUAUUUUUCUGAGAGCUUUUAUCAUGAAUAGUUGUUGAUUUUUUUUCUAAAUGUUUUGUUAGCCUGUUGAUAUAAUGGAUUAUAUUAACUGAUUUUCCAUUUUGAGCUAGCAUUGUAUACCUGGUAUAAACACCACUUGGUCAUAAUAUGUAUUUUUUUCAUUUAUUACUGAAUUAUAUUUACUAAUAUUUUAAGACUUUUUUUUUUUAAUUUUGUCGAGGUUUUUAUUAUUUUACUUUUGAGAGAGACGGAGUGUGAGCAGAGUAGGGGUAGAGAGAGAGGAAGACACAGAACCCAAAGCAGGCUCUAAGCUCUGAGCUGUCAGCACAGAGCCCGACGUGGGGCUCGACCUCACGAACCGUGACAUCAUGACCUGAGUCAAAGUCAGAUGCUUAACUGACUGUAAGACUUUUUUUUACCAGAAUCAUGAGGGAUAUGGUCUUUACUCUUUAUGUAUUGUCUCCCUGCUUUUGAUAAAUGAUAAACUUCAUAAAAUGAGUAGGAAAAUGUCCCCCCCCCCCCAACUUUUGGUAGAGGUUGUGUAGAAUUGAUGUUAAUUUUUCUUUAAAUAUUUGAUGGAAUUUGCAAGUAAAACUGUCUGGGCCUGGAGAUUUCUUUUUUGAGAGUCUUUAAAUUAAAAUUUCAAUUUCCUGAAUAGUCACGGUGCUAUUCAAAUUAUCUAUUUCAA